UAAACCUUUGUUCCGGUAGGGGAAGAAGGGGAAAGUCACCGGUACCUGCAGAAGGAGGCACCCGCCUAAAUUACGUGCCCAGCAGCCAGCGGUAAUACGUAGGGGUGCGAGCCGUUAUCCGGAAAUUAUUGGGCGUAAAGAGCUCGUAGGCGGUUUGUCGCGUCUGUCGUGAAAGUCCGGGGCUUAACCCCGGAUUUGCGGUGCGUACGGGCAGACUAGAGUGCAGUAGGGGAGACUGGAAUUCCUGGUGUAGCGGUGGAAUGCGCAGAUAUCAGGAGGAACACCGAUGGCGAAGGCAGGUCUCUGGGCUGUAACUGACGCUGAGGAGCGAAAGCAUGGGGAGCGAACAGGAUUAGAUACCCUGGUAGUCCAUGCCGUAAACGUUGGGCACUAGGUGUGGGGACCAUUCCACGGUUUCCGCGCCGCAGCUAACGCAUUAAGUGCCCCGCCUGGGGAGUACGGCCGCAAGGCUAAAACUCAAAGGAAUUGACGGGGGCCCGCACAAGCGGCGGAGCAUGCGGAUUAAUUCGAUGCAACGCGAAGAACCUUACCAAGGCUUGACAUGUUCUCGAUCGCCGUAGAGAUACGGUUUCCCCUUUGGGGCGGGUUCACAGGUGGUGCAUGGUUGUCGUCAGCUCGUGUCGUGAGAUGUUGGGUUAAGUCCCGCAACGAGCGCAACCCUCGUUCCAUGUUGCCAGCACGUCGUGGUGGGGACUCAUGGGAGACUGCCGGGGUCAACUCGGAGGAAGGUGAGGACGACGUCAAAUCAUCAUGCCCCUUAUGUCUUGGGCUUCACGCAUGCUACAAUGGCCGGUACAAUGGGUUGCGAUACUGUGAGGUGGAGCUAAUCCCAAAAAGCCGGUCUCAGUUCGGAUUGGGGUCUGCAACUCGACCCCAUGAAGUCGGAGUCGCUUGUAAUCGCAGAUCAGCAACGGAGCGGGGAACAAGUUACCGG
rnacentral:rRNA from 1 species